CUUGAUUUUUUGGUAAGUCUAGGGAUUCUGGGUUGAGAUUUUAGAGUCGGGAGAGAACACCCCAGCAGGUCGAACUCAAUUCAGUCUCGCAUGGACUCCAUAGAACCUCUGAUCGCUCACAUUCAAGGGCUUUCGAGUAGUGUCGAUGAUAUCUCUCAUCUUCACAACCUCCUAAAACAGGCCGAGGAAUCUCUCCAAUCUCA